rnacentral:misc_RNA from 1 species
CAAGAAACGAGGCCGCGUGCGCUCGCCCGCCCGGCCCCGCUCCUUACCUUGCCUACCGCACCGUUUGUUGCUUCCUGGCGGCGGACUGCCCGCCGCCAGGGACGUUGAUACAACCCUGUAUAGAAGCAUUGAAGCUCUGAGAAAACGCGAAAUCGUA